UCACAAUAGUUUAACUUUUCUAUCGAGAAAACGUUAUUUUACAUAUCGUAUCGUUCUAUCGCCCAGCUCUACUGCACUGACGUGCAGGUAGGAGGGCUGGAGUCGCCUGAGUUUGAAUCGAACGCUGAUGGAACCUGUUAUUAUGAUUUAUUUAGUCUGAUCAUGAACACAGUGAAUGAAACCAGCACACAGAACAUCACCUGCUCACUGACUCCUCCCUCUCUCCCUCAGGGUUCAGGUGUUCUCUCAGGUGAACAAGAUGUCGGCCCAUAACCUGGCUGUGGUCCUGGUCCCGUCCCUGUUCCAGGCCAUGAACCAGGACUUGAUCACCCUCACUAGAGAGUUCAUCAUCCACCACACCCUGCUCUUCCUCACCCCAGACUCGGCUCAGAGGCAGGAGCAGACCACUGUCUUCUGAUGAAGAUCAGCCCGUUUCUUUUAGCUUACUGUGAAUCUUUUGGGAUGUUGAGGAAACUGUUGUUAUUGAAAUCACUGACCAAUCACUGUCUACUUCCUGUUUCCUGUCAGUUGAACUACAGCUAUCAGAGAGAAUGAUUACUGUUGGCUCCCCCUGCUGGCUGCUCUUUACGGUGGUUGUUAAAUGAAUGUUAAUGUGAGGCUCUGCAGCUGAGCGGGGUGUACCACUGUGUAAGCUGAGCACUCACUUUAUGAAAUGUUAUCUUCAAAUCUGCAAAUAAUUCAUGAACUGAAUCUGAACAUUUAAUAAAAUCUGCAUUAAA